GGGGAUGAUCGGUUUCGACAUCGCCUGCUCAUUCGCGAGAAGCGGGCCGAGGAUGCGGGGUUAUCUCGUUAACGCCCCCUGCAAAACUAUAAGUGCCGAUGCAAAGCGCACUGACUUCGCCCUCGCUGCCUAAGCGAGCCCGAUAGUCCGUCAGACCGUGUGUGAUCCCGCCACGGACCCUGGCGUCAUCUAGGGAUCUUGCUGAGCGACGGCGUCCGGACGUCGCUCGGGACUCUUCCCGGACUGGGCCUGUCGACUUAGGUGUCUGUGACAAAGGUC
rnacentral:tmRNA from 1 species